UACGUAGGGGGCAAGCGUUGUCCGGAUUUAUUGGGCGUAAAGAGCUCGUAGGUGGUUCGGUAAGUCGGAUGUGAAAACUCCAGGCUCAACUUGGAGACGCCAUUCGAUACUGCGAUGACUUGAGUCCGGUAGGGGAGUGUGGAAUUCCUGGUGUAGCGGUGAAAUGCGCAGAUAUCAGGAGGAACACCAGUGGCGAAGGCGGCUCACUGGCCCGUUACUGACGCUGAGGCACGAAAGCGUGGGGAGCAAACAGG
rnacentral:rRNA from 1 species